rnacentral:misc_RNA from 1 species
UAAAAAACUCUUUUCUCCAAGAAUCUUUCUCGACAAUAUCUCUGCACUUUGGAGCUGCUAUACAAUUUCCAGUGUUCCAUAGGAAUCAGAAACUUAAAUGUCAUGGUUUAUCAUACUUAGUGGUUAAAUUUGAUUAAGAAAUUAUCUGAUGUUGUUCUUAACAAUCUCUGCUCUUCUGAAACAGCCAACUGAAUGUAAUACACACGCG